rnacentral:rRNA from 1 species
AGGCAGCAGUAGGGAAUUUUCGGCAAUGGGGGAAACCCUGACCGAGCAACGCCGCGUGAGGGAAGAAGUAUUUCGGUAUGUAAACCUCUGUUAUAAAGGAAGAACGGUAUGAAUAGGAAAUGAUUCAUAAGUGACGGUACUUUAUGAGAAAGCCACGGCUAACUACGUGCCAGCAGCCGCGGUAAUACGUAGGUGGCGAGCGUUAUCCGGAAUCAUUGGGCGUAAAGAGGGAGCAGGCGGCAAUAGAGGUCUGCGGUGAAAGCCUGAAGCUAAACUUCAGUAAGCCGUGGAAACCAAAUAGCUAGAGUGCAGUAGAGGAUCGUGGAAUUCCAUGUGUAGCGGUGAAAUGCGUAGAUAUAUGGAGGAACACCAGUGGCGAAGGCGACGAUCUGGGCUGCAACUGACGCUCAGUCCCGAAAGCGUGGGGAGCAAAUAGGAUUAGAUACCCUAGUAGUCCACGCCGUAAACGAUGAGUACUAAGUGUUGGGGGUCAAACCUCAGUGCUGCAGUUAACGCAAUAAGUACUCCGCCUGAGUAGUACGUUCGCAAGAAUGAAACUCAAAGGAAUUGACGGGGGCCCGCACAAGCGGUGGAGCAUGUGGUUUAAUUCGAAGCAACGCGAAGAACCUUACCAGGUCUUGACAUACCUCUAAAGGCUCUAGAGAUAGAGAGAUAGCUAUAGGGGAUACAGGUGGUGCAUGGUUGUCGUCAGCUCGUGUCGUGAGAUGUUGGGUUAAGUCCCGCAACGAGCGCAACCCUUGUCGCUAGUUACCAUCAUUAAGUUGGGGACUCUAGCGAGACUGCCUCUGCAAGGAGGAGGAAGGCGGGGAUGACGUCAAAUCAUCAUGCCCCUUAUGACCUGGGCUACACACGUGCUACAAUGGACGGAUCAAAGGGAAGCGAAGCCGCGAGGUGGAGCGAAACCCAAAAACCCGUUCUCAGUUCGGACUGCAGUCUGCAACUCGACUGCACGAAGUUGGAAUCGCUAGUAAUCGCGAAUCAGAAUGUCGCGGUGAAUACGUUCUCGGGCCUUGUACACACCGCCCGUCACACCAUGAGAGUUGGUAACACCCGAAGCCGGUGGCUUAACCGCAAGGAGAGAGCUGUCUAAGGUGGGACUGAUGAUUAGGGUGAAGUCGUAACAAGGUAUCCCUACGGGAACGUGGGGAUGGAUCACCU